rnacentral:rRNA from 1 species
GCAAGUCGAACGGUAGAGGGGGCAACCCCUUGAGAGUGGCGAACGGGUGAGUAAUAUAUCGGAACGUGCCCAGUCGUGGGGGAUAACGUAGUGAAAAUUACGCUAAUACCGCAUACGAUCUAAGGAUGAAAGCGGGGGAUCGCAAGACCUCGCGCGACUGGAGCGGCCGAUAUCAGAUUAGGUAGUUGGUAGGGUAAAGGCCUACCAAGCCAACGAUCUGUAGCUGGUCUGAGAGGACGACCAGCCACACUGGAACUGAGACACGGUCCAGACUCCUACGGGAGGCAGCAGUGGGGAAUUUUGGACAAUGGGCGAAAGCCUGAUCCAGCCAUUCCGCGUGCAGGAUGAAGGCCCUCGGGUUGUAAACUGCUUUUGUACAGAACGAAAAAGUUUCUAUUGAUACUAGGAGCUCAUGACGGUACUGUAAGAAUAAGCACCGGCUAACUACGUGCCAGCAGCCGCGGUAAUACGUAGGGUGCAAGCGUUAAUCGGAAUUACUGGGCGUAAAGCGUGCGCAGGCGGUUAUAUAAGUCAGAUGUGAAAUCCCCGGGCUCAACCUGGGAACUGCAUUUGAGACUGUAUAGCUAGAGUACGGUAGAGGGGGAUGGAAUUCCGCGUGUAGCAGUGAAGUGCGUAGAUAUGCGGAGGAACACCGAUGGCGAAGGCAAUCCCCUGGACCUGUACUGACGCUCAUGCACGAAAGCGUCGGGAGCAAACAGGAUUAGAUACCCUGGUAGUCCACGCCCUAAACGAUGUCAACUGGUUGUUGGGUCUUAACUGACUCAGUAACGAAGCUAACGCGUGAAGUUGACCGCCUGGGGAGUACGGCCGCAAGGUUGAAGCUCAAAGGAAUUGACGGGGACCCGCACAAGCGGUGGAUGAUGUGGUUUAAUUCGA